rnacentral:rRNA from 1 species
AUUGAACGCUGGCGGCAGGCCUAACACAUGCAAGUCGAGCGGAUGAGAGGAGCUUGCUGCUCGAUUCAGCGGCGGACGGGUGAGGAAUGCCUAGGAAUCUGCCUGGUAGUGGGGGACAACGUUUCGAAAGGAACGCUAAUACCGCAUACGUCCGAGGGGAGAAAGUAGGGGACCUGCGGGCCUGGCGCUAUCAGAUGAGCCUAGGUCGGAUUAGCUAGUUGGUGAGGUAAUGGCUCACCAAGGCGACGAUCCGUAACUGGUCUGAGAGGAUGAUCAGUCACGCUGGAACUGAGACACGGUCCAGACUCCUACGGGAGGCAGCAGUGGGGAAUAUUGGACAAUGGGCGAAAGCCUGAUCCAGCCAUGCCGCGUGUGUGAAGAAGGUCUUCGGAUUGUAAAGCACUUUAAGUUGGGAGGAAGGGUUGUAGAUUAAUACUCUGCAAUUUUGACGUUACCGACAGAAUAAGCACCGGCUAACUCUGUGCCAGCAGCCGCCGUAAAAC